CAUGGCUCUGAAAUGCAUCCAGAAGGAACUGAUUGACUUACCUUCUGCUCAGCAUUCCGCAGGACCUGUCGGUAAUGGCUUGUUCCACUGACAGGCCACCACAAUGGGCCAGAAUGACAGUCUUUACCAAGGAGGUAUCUUUUUCCUGACCAUCCACAUCCCUACAGAUUAUCCUUUCAAGCCCCUAAAGGUAGGUUUCACUACCAAAAUCUGUCACCCAGAUAUCAACAGCAAUGGCAACAUUUGCCUGAACAUCCUGAGGUUAUAGUGGUCCCCAGCAUUGAGUGUGUCCAAAGUUCUCCUGUCCAUCUGCAUUCUGCUCUGCAACCCCAACCCUGAUGACCCACUGGUACCAGAAGUAGCCUACACUUAUAAAGCCGACAGAAGUACAAUAGAAUAGCAAGAGAGCAGACGUAGAAAUAUGCUAUG
rnacentral:lncRNA from 1 species